rnacentral:rRNA from 1 species
GAUGAACGCUAGCUACAGGCUUAACGCAUGCAAGUCGAGGGGCAGCGGUAUCGAAAGCUUGCUUUCGGUAGCCGGCGACCGGCGCACGGGUGAGUAACGCGUAUCGAACCUGCCUCAUACUCGGGAAUAGCCUUGCGAAAGUAAGAUUAAUGCCCGGUGUUUUCAGAGUCCCGCAUGAGGCUUUGAACAAAGAUUUAUCGGUAGGAGAUGGCGAUGCGUCCCAUUAGCUUGUUGGCGGGGUAACGGCCCACCAAGGCAUCGAUGGGUAGGGGUUCUGAGAGGAAGGUCCCCCACAUUGGAACUGAGACACGGUCCAAACUCCUACGGGAGGCAGCAGUGAGGAAUAUUGGUCAAUGGGCGGAAGCCUGAACCAGCCAAGUAGCGUGCAGGAAGACGGCCCUCCGGGUUGUAAACUGCUUUUAGUUGGAAUAAAACGGGGCUCGUGAGCCCCCCUGCAUGUACCAUCAGAAAAAGGACCGGCUAAUUCCGUGCCAGCCGCCGCCGUAA